rnacentral:antisense_RNA from 1 species
CCAUCUGUGCCUCAUUGGUCACAGCUUCGUUUGCUGAGCACCUACUGUGUGCCGGGACCCUGCUGGGAGCUGGUCGGCUCGCUUGGUUUACUCCUCCUAACAAGCUGCCAGGGAGGCCUCACCAUCCCGUUCCUAAACCCAAGAGGGACAGGAAGUCCGGGCGAUGUGCCCCAUCGCCACGCCACCCUCGUGGCGGGACCCUGGGGUCAGCGGACAGCAGAACCAGCCUCGCCCUGGCCACUCCAUGCCAGGCCUAGGGCUGUGCAAGUACGAAGAACUCAUGGACUCGUGGCUCCACCCUGUUGAGCCCUACACCAAGGAGAGUUCCGUAACCCACGUGGCACAGUGACCUGGCAGAGAAGCCUCGCAGAGAAGCCCUUUCUCCCAACCUGUUCGGACGCGUCUGUCUCACCCGUCUCCUCUCAGGCCCCUCCCAUGAACUUACGGGCUGUGUCAAUUUCUGUGCCGUAGGUCUAUUAAAACCUUCUGGGAGGCCAGGCUCUCAGUUCAA